CCUGGUGGUUCUAGCGAGGCGGCCCCACCCGUUCCCAUCCCGAACACGGCAGUGAAACGCCUCAGCGCCUACGAUACUGCUCUGGUGACGGAGUGGGAAAAUAGGUCAUCGCCGGGA
rnacentral:rRNA from 1 species